GCCCCUAUGGCUCAGUGGCAGAGCGUUCGCCUAGUAAGCACACCUACUUACCGGUAGCGAAAGGUCCAUAGUUCGAUCCUGUGUGGGGGCA
rnacentral:tRNA from 2 species